CAGAUUGUCCUCCAGUGAGGCCAUGGAGUCAGAAGAAGCUGCACUGCAGCAGCUGUAGUGUCAGGGCAUGGAGAAAAUCACAGCUAAAGAAGGUAUCAUGACUUCCGGCCAAGAUGGAGGUGUAGGUAGACAGACAUACCAUGCCUCCUCGAACACCCAAAAUAAGGACAACAACAAUUCAGAAACAAAGUAACAACCAAAACUGAAAGAAAAUGGAACCAUAUGGAAGUCUGACAACCAAGGAGUUAAAAUAGACAUAUUCAUCCAGACUGUCUGCCAGAGAACUCUGUGAAGAAUCCUUUCCAUUCCUACAACCUUAUCCGGAUGAGAGAAGAGGGAAGGGAAGAAAGGUGGCUCUUGCAAUGUUCACUGUUUAAGUUCACUCGUUCACUAUGUGACGAACACUUCCUGUUGAUGAUUGAGGAAAAGGAUUUGUGACAUUUAAAACUAUUGUCUACUAUAUGAUUGUCUAACCACUGCUGUACACCUGAAGCUAACACAAAAUAA